UGGACUCACUACUGUAAAUCGCUCUGGAUAAGAGCGUCUGCUAAAUGACAAAUG
rfam:Salmo salar isolate Sally breed double haploid chromosome ssa25, whole genome shotgun sequence.